GGAAUCUUGGCGGUGGGUGAACAAAAAAUGCCGGAGCCAUCCACCUCCUGAGUUCAAUGCCUCUCUACACACUUCUAAUAGGAUUCUUCUAGGCACUGCACCAUGAAGAUGUCAGCCUCAGAUAUCUGGGCACAGGGUCUCUAAAGGACAGGAUGAACUGCAGACAUGCUCACCCCACAUACAUCAAAACAGCUGAAAGGCUCCUGUUACACAGCUGAAUCGCCUAGAUUCUCCAGUUCAUAAGUCUGACUUUAAAGUGAUGCUGGGCCUGUAAAAGCUGAAUAUCCUUUCCAGCUAAGAAGGCCAACUAAGCUUCAGGCAACAGCAAAAGAGCCUUCAAAAGAAAAAUGCAUCACAGGUGCAAUCUUCCCUAAAUGGCAUUCCAGUGAUGCUAACCCAAGUAGGUCCCAAUUAAAACAAGGCAAGGCACCUGGAGUGGACCUGAUCCCUGCGGAGUUAUGAAAAGCAGAUCUCGAUUGGUGGGCCCCAGUUUUGGCAAAUCUCUUCUCCUAUGUUGAUUGGAAAGAAGAACUGGAUGAAACGUCUAACCUGCAAAGGAGCAGACAGCAUGCUAUGAGCAUUGAUGAGUCCCAGGAUAUGCAGGCAGUCUGACAGCUGAGAAUUUGUUACAAUCCUUCCAUAUGUAGAGGCUCAAAAUACAUAGCAGAGAUGGACCCCCUUCCCCCAACACUCCCUUGUCUUGCAUCUUUAAGCUCAGCUAUUCUGCAGUGACUCUUAUUGUCUAUUUGGUUGCCCUAAAGUUCCCCAAACUGGGGGCCUCUGGGGUAUAUGUCAGUGCACUGCAAGCGCAGGGGCCUUGGGAAGUAGCCUAGGGAAGUAGGUGUGGAGAAAGAAAGAUAAUUAAACUUACCUCUGACCGUCUGUAACC